rnacentral:rRNA from 1 species
UGGGGAAUAUUGCACAAUGGGCGCAAGCCUGAUGCAGCCAUGCCGCGUGUGUGAAGAAGGCCUUCGGGUUGUAAAGCACUUUCAGCGAGGAGGAAGGUGGUGGACUUAAUACGUUCAUCAAUUGACGUUACUCGCAGAAGAAGCACCGGCUAACUCCGUGCCAGCAGCCGCGGUAAUACGGAGGGUGCAAGCGUUAAUCGGAAUUACUGGGCGUAAAGCGCACGCAGGCGGUUUGUUAAGUCAGAUGUGAAAUCCCCGGGCUCAACCUGGGAACUGCAUUUGAAACUGGCAAGCUAGAGUCUCGUAGAGGGGGGCUAGAAUUCCAGGUGUAGCGGUGAAAUGCGUAGAGAUCUGGAGGAAUACCGGUGGCGAAGGCGGCCCCCCUGGACGAAGACUGACGCUCAGGUGCGAAAGCGUGGGGCAGCAAACAGGAUUAGAUACCCUGGUAGUCCACGCUGUAAACGAUGUCGAUUUGGAGGUUGUGCCCCUUGAGGCGUGGCUUCCGGAGCUAACGCGUUAAA